UGAUUAUUCGAGUUUAUUUAUAUUAUUUAAUGAACCAAACAGUCCAAACAUCAGACUAAAGUCUCAGUUGAACUUGAUGUGCACACUCCGAUUUACAAUCGGAGAAAAACAAUGCAUGAGUGUGUGUGACACUAAACAUUUGAAGAUCACUCUACUAAGGACAUGGACUAAUGACUCAUUACUUAAUUAAUAGCUGUAUUUCAUUCAUAAAGCACUUUUCACAAUGCAUUUAAAAUAAAUUGUUGUGAUAGAAUGUACCAGAACAUAUCAUACUGUAGGCAAAAAGCAUUGACAAAUGCAUAAAAAAAGACCUAAAAAUAAAUUUAACAGAGUUAUAAAUAGCGCCUUAAGCAUAUUAGAAUUGGAACGAGACACUCAUGGCUCAUCCAUCCAUUGAUCCAUUAAUUCACAGGAACACAUCAGCCGGAGGGCUGUGCUUCCUCCUGUCACUUCUCACACUACAGUACAUACAAGAGCAGAUACUUAUCCACUAUUGUUCAGUGGAAAGUCUUACUGUGGGGGAUUCUGUUUCUGGCAGCUGACACACCGGGGUCUGUAAUAAUUCCCAUGCUGAGGCACAGUGGGAAAGUUGAUAAACACAUAAUAGGACUUGAAGCACGCAUCCAGUGCCCCAAGCAGUGUACCAUGCUGCAAUGCCUGUCCACUACUGACCAUAAACACCUGUGAGCAGUCCCCAAGAGACGACACAAAUGGGUAGGGUCCGGUUACCCCUGCCUGGUGCAGGUACUCAACCAUGUUGGUCCUAAACUUUUAGAGAAAUCAUUUGAUUUUAGAAUAUGAGGACUUGUGCAAAUCAUGGAGGCACACUAGCAAUGCCAUCACACACAAUUUAUUUUGUAUAUUUUAUAGUAAUGUACGCCAAUCAACACCCAAUCCCUGUUUGAUGCACACUGUACACCUUCCAUUCAUUUGGGGCUGGGGCUCAUAGGUUCAUUUACGCAACACUAACCAUGUUUACAUCCAACCAUUUCAUGCGGAUGAAUUACCUGACGCAUUAAAAAAGUAACGACCGGGGUGAUGGAAACAUGAAAUGGUUACUAAGGUUUACCGAGUAUGGUGCAACAAACAAACAAAACAGUCAGGGGCAGUCUUGUGGGCUAAAACAGCUCAUUGAUGAGAGGUCCAAGGAGAAUGGCAAGAACCGUGCAAGCUAACAGGUGGGCCACAAACAGGCAAAUAAUGGCGCAGUGCAACAGUGGUGUGCAAAACGGAAUCUCGGAACCCCCAACUCGUCGGUCCUUGUCACGGAUGGGCUGUUGCAGCAGACAGCCACACCGUCGGUGGUGUAAUGGUGUGGGGACUGUUUUCCUGGCACACAUUAGGUCCCUUGAUACCAAUUGAGCAACAUUUCCAUGCCCAAAGAAUUCAGGCUGUUCUGGAGGCAAAGAGUGAUCUUACCCGGUACUACAGUGCCUACAGAAAGUAUUCAUACCCCUUGACUUAUUCCACAUUUUGUUGUCUUACAGCCUGAAUUAAAAAUGUAUAUAAUAUAUUACACAUUACCCCAUAAUGACAAAGUAAAACAAAAUGUGCACAUUCAUUGAAAAUGAAAUAGAAAUAUCUAUAAAUAUUCACACCUGAGUCAAUACAUGUUAGAAUCGCUUUCUGCGAAAGUCUCUAAGAGCUUUGCACAAGUGGAUUGUACAAUAUUAUAUAUAUAUAUAUAUUAAAUUCUUCAUGCUCUGUCAAGUUGGUUGUUGAUCAUUGCUCUACAGCUUUUUUCAAGUCUUGCCAUAGAUUUUCAAGCAGAUUUAAGUCAAAACUGUUACUAUGCCACUCAGCAACAUUCAAUGUCGUCUUGGUAAGCAACUGUAUAUUUGGACUGCUGAAAGGUGAAUUUGUCUCCCAGUGUCUGUUGGUAAGCAGACUGAACCAGGUUUUCCUCUAGGAUUUUGCCUGUGCUGAGCUCCAUUUCGUUUCAUUUUAUCCUAAAAAAACUCCCUGGUCAUUGCCAUGACAAGCAUGCCCAUAACAUGACGCAGCCAUCACUAUGCUUGAAAAUAUGAAGUGGUACUCAGAGAUGUGUUUCUGUUGGAUUUGUAUUCAGUACAUAAAGUACAUUUAAUUUCCAAAUUUGUUGCCGUUUUACUUUAGUGCUUUACUUUAGUACUUUAGUGCAGGAUGCAUGUUUUGGAAUAUUUUUUUUAUGUACAGGCUUCCUUCUUUUCACUCUGUCAUUUAGGUUGGUAUUGUGUAGUAACUACAAUGUUGUUGAUCCAUCAUCAGUUUUCUCCUAUCACAGCCAUUAAACGAAAUUGGCCUCAUGUUGAAAUCGCUGACUGCUUUCCUUCGUCACUGACAACUGAGUUAGGAAACUGCCUGUAUCUUUGUAUUGACUGGGUUUACUGAUACACCAUCCGAAGCCUAAUUAAUAACUUCAUCAUGCUCAAAGGGAUAUUCAGUUUGUUUUUCAUUUUUUAUUAAUUUGUAAAAAUUUCUAAAAACAUAAUUCCACUUUGACAUUAUGCGGUAUUGUGUUUAGGCCAGUGAUACAACAUCUCAAUAUAGUCAAUUUUUAAAAAUUCAGGCUGUAAAACAAAAUGUGGAAAAAGUCAAGGGGUGUGAAUACUUUCUGAAUGCACUGUAGAUGGAUGUACCUAAUAAACUGUACUCUGAGUGGAUAUUGAAUUGUAAUGUUUUUCACCAAGUCCAGGGGAGAGGGGGUUAACAGCGUGGUGUAUGUCAGGGAGGGAUGUGUCAAUGUGUAGUUCAUACAUGCAUAAUCAUGUAGCUCAGUGGACAUAACGAGAGAGAUAUAACAAGGUGCACAUAUUGAGUACCACAGUACGAGUCAUUCAUAAAACCUAGCGGUAAAACCCGGAAAUGGUUCCAAUCAUUUUUUUCCACCAUUCCUUUUUACGUAGGGGAUUUUAGAAGUACUUCAUAUAAGGUCUAUGUUUUGUGUAGGUUUACCAUGGCGUGACGUUUUGAUAACCGCGCAAAUCUCUCUCGGACAAGGUAACUUUUAUCAAUCUAUUCGCCUGUAAUUAACCCCCCCCCCCCACAAAAAAGGAAACACUAAUUAGCCACUAAUGUGGCUAUCAUACAUAACUACACAUCUUGUCACUCGAGGCACAGGGUGUGAAAAACCUCCACAUUUCUCCAUGCAAACUCGUAUCAGCAAGUAACCUAGUAAGUAUAUAUUAUAGCCUUUUUAGUUUCUCUUAUAAAUAAUUGUAAUCGUUUAUUUCUCGUAAUUUCUUGUGUAAUUCAUUUUUUCUGUACUUUUUCAAAUUACCUAGCUUUUUUUUUUUUAUUACCAUAAUGUUUUUAAUUACCUUGGCCUUGGUAGUUAACCGGCUAACCUUAGGUCUCUCCGUCGAUCCGAAGCAAGGAUGGUUCUGUACUAUGUACCGGAUUGUAACCGCUAACGUUACUCCGAUAAACACACGUGCAUUUUUCUGUUUUCCGAUCUCUAAGCGAGAGGCGUCGCUGGAGCCGUGUGAUAAGAUGGGCAUACUGGAAACCCAGUGGACAGCACUCAGGUCUGAAGCUUCCAUUUGCUGUUGGGAAAGAGAAAUGGCCCUGUAUUUAACAGAAAAGGUAGCUCAUCUAACAUGGCAGAAGAGGAAGAUCCAGGCUGUUGAGAGACCACUUGUCACAAUGUCCAAGUCCAACGGGAGUGAAUCCCUCAGGCCAUCCAGUGCAUAGACGUCAUGUGCCAGUGUGAUCUGAGCGCGAGCGUCCAGUUGUGGAGACUACAGCCCAUCGAGCCUGUUGAUGGACAGAUGUUACAUGCCGAACAUCAGGUUCACCCCACCAGAAGCAGUGUAUGAUCAAUGCCACCCUUAGCAAGGUGAUCUGCUGGAAGUUACGUACUCUCUCUCACUCUGGGGGUACAAGCAGAGAUGACUGGGGCCUUCAGCAAGUAAGACGCAGGGGGUAAUAAAUAAUUUGAACAUCACAGAUUUAAAUUCCCAACUGUUCCCAUGAACUUAACUACAUUACUUUAGUUGGCUACUUUGAACAAAACUUGUAUGUAAUAUAACCUAUUCUGGGAACCUAGUCUGUGUGUAUGAACUAUGUGGAAUAUUUUUCCCCUGAAAGCAGGUACUGACAGGAAGAGCAAUAUGAGUCUGUCAGAGGUCAUCACGUUGGAUGGUGAUGGAGGCUUUGGUGGUCCACCAAACAAAGAAGCAGGUGUCCCUUCCAGUGAUGUGGAGCUGACCUAGUGCACAUCCAUCUCUUUAGCCCAGCGUUUCUCAAACUCUGUCCUGGGGACCCCGUGGGGUACAUGUUUAGUUUUUUGCCCUAGCAUUACACAGCUGAUUUAAAAUCAUCAAAGCUUGGUGAUUAGUUGAUUAUUUGAAUCAGCUGUGUAGUGCUCGGGCAAAAACCAAAAGAUGCACCACUUGGGGUCCCCAGGACUGAACUUGGGAAAGCCUGCUGUAGCCAUUUUGAAUGCCUUGAUGCCCUCCUCUUCGUUAUCUGUGCCCCACUUUACAGACGACACCCCAUCCAAAGACUGAUCUGAGGACCCUUUUAGCAGCGACUGAGUCAUGCGCUUGGCCUUAACCACUGCUCUGUAAUUGCUGGCCGUCAACCUCCCUCUUCUCAUGGUGUGCCAGUUGGGGUCGGUGUGGUGUCCAACUGUUGCCUGCCGGCCAGGAUGCCUGCAUGCCCCAGGUGCCCUUGUUUUUAUAACAAUGUCCGGUUCAGACAGGGAGGGUAGCGGUUGUUUUGGCUCAGGUUCAAGGAGACUUGUCAUUCCACUGUACCUGCCCCAGAGACGGUUCCUUAGCCACUGAAGAUCCUCCUCUGUGGGCUCUCGGGACAGAGGGUUGUAGUCUUCAGCCGGGUACAGGUCCUCCGCUGACUGCACCUGGUUGGGCUUCCUCCACUCGAAUUCCACAUCUGUACGGCAGAUAUUGUGAACUGCCAAAAUAGGCUGCAUGGCUCCACUGAUGAGCUCCACGGAGGCAUUUGCAUGUGUUAGAGAGAAUCCCCUUGUCACCUAUAGAGACCUGCCAACAGGAAGUUGUCACCUAUAGAGACCUGCCAACAUGAAGUUGUCACCUAUAGAGACCUGCCAACAGGAAGGAGGUUAAGUGACACAUGUCUUUCAAUUCAUGAAACUUUGAACACCUUGAAAUGCAUUUGUUGUAAGAAAUGUGCCGUAUACUGUAAAUAAAGUUUGAUUUGAUUGAUGACAUUACAGCUUUAGAAUAUUUAAUAAUAUACAUUUUCACAUGAAGACAAGUGCAGUUUUUCCAUAAACUUUGAAUUGAUAACUUGGGAUUUUAUCACUUGCCAUAUCAAUCAUACAGUGGGAAGGAUCCUAUAAAUCAAGACUGUGUGAAUGCAUGUACUAAUCCAAAUAAUAAAAAGUACUGUGCCUUUGAAAA